rnacentral:sRNA from 1 species
CACACUUAAACAUGUUCUUGACCAAGUGUAGUUAGCUCAAUUGAUAAUUAUCCUAGGUGAAAUUUAGAGGUCGCCGGUUCGAGUGACACUUGGGACGAAACUAAUAUUACAUGUUGUGGUUUCGGGCCUGGAAAGAUUAUGAAGUUCGGUACAAAACCUUCUGGUAUUCAAAAAAAAA